rnacentral:rRNA from 1 species
GACGGACACGCCGCGUGAGUGAAGAAGGUUUUCGGAUCGUAAAACUCUGUUGUUAGGGAAGAACAAGUGGUUCGAAUAGGGCGGCGCCUUGACGGUACCUAACCAGAAAGCCACGGCUAACUACGUGCCAGCAGCCGCGGUAAUACGUAGGGGGCAAGCGUUGUCCGGAAUUAUUGGGCGUAAAGCGCGCGCAGGCGGUUCUUUAAGUCUGAUGUGAAAUCUUACGGCUCAACCGUAAACGUGCAUUGGAAACUGGGGAACUUGAGUGCAGAAGAGGAGAGUGGAAUUCCACGUGUAGCGGUGAAAUGCGUAGAGAUGUGGAGGAACACCAGUGGCGAAGGCGACUCUCUGGUCUGUAACUGACGCUGAGGAGCGAAAGCGUGGGGAGCGAACAGGAUUAGAUACCCUGGUAGUCCACGCCGUAAACGAUGAGUGCUAGGUGUUAGGGGGUUUCCGCCCCUUAGUGCUGAAGUUAACGCAUUAAGCACUCCGCCUGGGGAGUACGGGCGCAAGGCUGAAACUCAAAAGAAUUGACGGGGGCCCGCACAAGCGGUGGAGCAUGUGG